UAUUCGUCAACCUGGAGUCCACUUGCUGGAGUUCAAAGUCCCAACUUUCCUCAGAACUCUAACCACUCCAUUCAUCCUUCUUGGUCCUAAGACUUGAAGGCAGAGGACAUCUGUAUGACUCCUCUUCCUGUUUCCCUCAACAGUUUGUUCAUUCCUUCCUAAGGAAUAGUGCCCAGGACCUUGAACCUCAUGACCCUGUUAAAUCUUGAAUGUCUGAUUAGUGGAGGGGCCCUAGAAAUGUUUUCAUUUGUUUGGUAACAUUUGCAAAAGCAAGGUAUGUUAACCAUGCCUGGUCAAGCCCAAUGACUUUUCCAUUUUAAGUUUCCUCUGACGAUCUUCCUCAUGCUGGAGUUGGAGCAACUACAGAUACUUUUUGGAUAUGACUAGGGGGAUGUAGUAGAAUGAUGUAUUUAUGUGUCUUGCAUAGGUACAUGCAGUGGAGUAAUUACAAGACAUCAUUGCCUGAGUCUUCCUAUUGCCCACGGGGGCCCUAACCUGAAGGUGUGGGGUUCGAGGUGGUGCCCUGACAGGUUGUGUCAGCCUGUGGUGACUGACGCUGGAUGCACAUAAGUACUGGAGGAAAAGCUUCUUCCCUAGAUACCUCUCUUAGAACAGUGCCUUGAACCUAACAGUUGUGCAGUCACCUUUUGUGAAUGAAGAAGCAGAUGAAUGCAUGAACACACACCCAGGACAAGCUUUAUGGUCCACUCAGCAGAUGAAGCCAACCCUGAAGAGAAACACUGUGUUCUAUGUCCAGUAAAGCCUUGGGCCUCUUGGUAGCUGUUGGGGUUGACUGGAUGUCAGUUAGCAGGUGUCCGCCCCAACGCAAUGGUGCAGUGUUUGGAGAGCGAAUGCUGACCUUCAAGACCAGGUGGCUCCACAGAGCUGGCUCCCAGUAACUCACACAGCCUCUCCCCUGCCUUGGAUGUGCCAGAACUUCAAAGCAAUGAGGAAGUAAUCAAGACACCUGCCUUGAGCUCUUUCUCCUCUGCAUCACCCCUCUGCCCUGCUGACCUGACUUGGAAACAGCCAACUAUGAACUGAAACCUCUACAAACUGUGAGCCAAAAUAAACCUCUCCUCCUUCAAUUUGUGGGUGUCCCGUAUUGCGUCCCAGCAAUGACAAGGAUCUCACUAUGCAGUUCAGGCUAGCAUUGAAGUCACUAUGUAUCCUAGACUGAUCUCAAACUCGAGGUGAUCUUCCUGCCUCAGCUUCCCUAGUGCUGGGACUACAGGAAGACACAGCUGUUAGCAGGCAGCUUGUGGGCCCUGACGCAAGGAGGCGAAGCCUUCCUGUGAACUUCAGAACACAUGCCAGGUUGGGAAGACUGUACUUUUCACCACUUUAGAGGGUUUUUCUCUCAAAUAAAUGUGUAAAGGAAGAUGAAGGGAUAAGACUUGUGACUAAUAUCUCUAGGGAACCUAAUUAUCUCUGCUCCCGACCCAUGUCUGGCCUCCCCCAUCUUUCCAUUAUAAGACUCACUGCAUUUUAUGACAAGGUGGGUGUUUGUGAUCCAUUUCAGGAUGGAGACCUCCUCACAGUGGCGUUCUUUCCAUGACAAAGCUGCUGCUCAGCCAGUGGGAUC